AAUCAACGCUGGCGGCGCGCUUAACACAUGCAAGUCGAACGAGAAAGGGGAGCAAUCCCUGAGUAAAGUGGCGUACGGGUGAGUAACACGUGGAUCAUCUACCUCUUAGUGGGGAAUAACUCUGGGAAACCGGAGCUAAUACCGCAUAAGCCUGGAAAGGGAAAGUGACGUUCUUCAAAAACGACACGCUGAGAGAGGAGUCCGCGGCCGAUUAGCUAGUUGGCAGGGUAAAAGCCACCAAGGCAUUGAUCGGUAGCCGGCCUGAGAGGGCACACGGCCACACUGGCACUGAAACACGGGCCAGACUCCUACGGGAGGCAGCAGUGGGGAAUCUUGCACAAGUGGGGGCAACCCUGAUGCAGCGACGCCGCGUGAGCGAUGAAGCCCUUCGGGGGUGUAAAGCUCUUUCGGCAGGAACGAUAAUGACGGUACCUGAAGAAGAAGCUGCGGCUAAC
rnacentral:rRNA from 1 species